rnacentral:rRNA from 1 species
GAUGAACGCUGGCGGCGUGCCUAAUACAUGCAAGUCGAGCGAACGGACGAGAAGCUUGCUUUUCUGAUGUUAGCGGCGGACGGGUGAGUAACACGUGGAUAACCUACCUAUAAGACUGGGAUAACUUCGGGAAACCGGAGCUAAUACCGGAUAAUAUUUUGAACCGCAUGGUUCAAAAGUGAAAGACGGUCUUGCUGUCACUUAUAGAUGGAUCCGCGCUGCAUUAGCUAGUUGGUAAGGUAACGGCUUACCAAGGCAACGAUGCAUAGCCGACCUGAGAGGGUGAUCGGCCACACUGGAACUGAGACACGGUCCAGACUCCUACGGGAGGCAGCAGUAGGGAAUCUUCCGCAAUGGGCGAAAGCCUGACGGAGCAACGCCGCGUGAGUGAUGAAGGUCUUCGGAUCGUAAAACGCUGUUAUUAGGGAAGAACAUAUGUGUAAGUAACUGUGCACAUCUUGACGGUACCUAAUCAGAAAGCCACGGCUAAUUACGG